rnacentral:ncRNA from 1 species
CACGUUGAUUGCUCAGUUCGACUAGGGACCUGGUUUUGCUCUCGGUCAAGCAGAACCCGCCUCCUAGGCGAGACCCUGGCCAGCAGGUACCCCGUAGUGCAUCUGAUUAGCUACUUGGUGAAGCAAUAGAUUACCAAGACGAUGAUCUGUAGCUAGUCCGAGAGGAUGAUCAGCCACACUGGGACUGAGACACGGCCCAGACUCCUACGGGAGGCAGCAGUGGGGAAUUUUCCGCAAUGGGCGAAAGCCUGACGGAGCAAUGCCGCGUGGAGGUGGAAGGCCCACGGAUUGUCAACUUCUUUUCUUGGAGAAGAAACUCGGUGGAGACAGUCUCACCCCCUGCACGUCGGGCCACCUAAGCUACAGGAAGCGGAGAUGUUAUGAGGAGGAUCGUG